rnacentral:rRNA from 1 species
ACUCCUGCGGGAGGCAGCAGUGGGGAAUAUUGGACAAUGGGCGCAAGCCUGAUCCAGCCAUGCCGCGUGAGUGAUGAAGGCCCUAGGGUUGUAAAGCUCUUUCACCGGAGAAGAUAAUGACGGUAUCCGGAGAAGAAGCCCCGGCUAACUUCGUGCCAGCAGCCGCGGUAAUACGAAGGGGGCUAGCGUUGUUCGGAAUUACUGGGCGUAAAGCGCACGUAGGCGGAUCGAUCAGUCAGGGGUGAAAUCCCAGGGCUCAACCCUGGAACUGCCUUUGAUACUGUCGAUCUGGAGUAUGGAAGAGGUGAGUGGAAUUCCGAGUGUAGAGGUGAAAUUCGUAGAUAUUCGGAGGAACACCAGUGGCGAAGGCGGCUCACUGGUCCAUUACUGACGCUGAGGUGCGAAAGCGUGGGGAGCAAACAGGAUUAGAUACCCGAGUAGUCCCAUGA